AUCCUUUUGUGGUUGAUUAGUGUGGUGACUGAGUUUUCACACUAGUGUGUCAGGAGAGCUUUCCUCACACCUAGUUACCAGUGUUAGCCAUUGAGAACAUAUUGCCCAUUUGAUG
rfam:Ictidomys tridecemlineatus contig008127, whole genome shotgun sequence.